AACAGAGCGUACUAGAUUCCACGUUGGAAGAACGUUCGUCUUAAGGUGAACUAUUUUGCAGACCGUCCAUUGAAUGAGACUGACAGAAACUGUCCCGAAGAUGACUCUCACAGACCACAAGGAGAUAAAAGUGGAACAAUGCAGUGAAGAGUGAGUACAUUUACUUAUCUUAAAAUUAAUUUUAUUUAGAAAUCAGCUGUUCUGUGAAAUACGUAGUUUCAUAACACCAUGCACAAAGUUGAUUGUAUUGUGUAAUAAUUUUAGGUCAAAGUUUGCAUUCUUUAAUUACGAAAAAUCUGGUUAAGAGUUUAGACUUCAUUUGAAGUUUAGUUCGGUUAUUUGACGAUAGGCGUUGCAGCAUUCCGCAAAUUUGCAUAGCUCCAUAUUGCAUCAUGGUCAUAUUGAAAUUGAACUAAUCAUAUUUUCAUUUAUUCAAAGUUUGGUUCAAAUUUGAAUUUUGACAGCCAUUUUGUGGCGUAAUUCGCGUUUAUUUUCUCUGAAUUCAUGUUGAAAUCACAUGCAUAAUAUUGCGUGCUAGAAAUGGGCCAAUUGCCAGUCUUCUAAACAUCGAUAAACAAACCCGGGUAAAAGCGCGCGGAGAUCGCUUAUCAUAUCUAUUUAUAGUAUUGGCAUGACGAACUGGCAGUGGUUAACACGAUAUAGCUCCAAGAAAUUUAACUCGUGUUUCCUUAUUUGGAAUGAAUUGUUGCGCUUUUUUUAAAGUAGGGCAAACCGAAACAGACUUAAAAUAGCAGGAAAAUUAAUGCAUCGAAUUUUAUACUUUUAAAAAUCACCGAGUCUAAUUAUGGAAUUUUAAUCCUAGCAGUCAAAGUAAAAGUAAAAAUUUUUUUGCAAUGUUUUCAGGAAACAUGAUUAUGAUCUUGAACCAAUUAAAAGUGGCUUCCUACGUGAAUUGUUGAUAAGUGUUUACAGCUGAAUAAUUUAUCUUCCUCGUCCAUCACACAAUAUGAUUGGCAGUCACUAAUAAAAGGAGAACCUGCGAACCUUCUAAUAAAAUCGAAAAUCAUUCACUUUCUUCUCAGUCCAUAGUAAACAAAUGACUUAUUAAGAUGCUUGACAUAGGUGAAACAUUGCAACUGAUGUACUUAUUAAAUGGGUACGGAUAAUUUGUAUUGUGGAUUACAGUUUAAUUAUUUUUUGUGAAUGGAUUUUUAAUUAUUCAAUUUUUCCUGAUCUUGCAGAAGCAGUAUAAAGGCUUGCCCCGGCGUACUGAAGGUCUUACAAAACGCAUCCAAGCAAGAGCGGGUUGUGAACGGGGUCCACAAAUGUGCGGCCAUUCUAGAAAAGUAAGUGUAAACUUAUACAGGAGUAUCUUAUUCAGUACACGUGGUUUAAUUUAUUUACUAGAUUAAAUUUAAACUGAUUUUACUUUUUCUUAUAUAUUCUCAAUCAUACUUUUCUUAGGAAUGCGUCAUAUUAAAAAAACAUCCCUUAAAACAUUGCCGGUCUUAAAAAAAUUGAAAUAGUCAAAGAUUUCAAAACUGUUAACCAUAUUCAUGGUAUAAUGUCUAUAAUUGAUAUUGUUUAUUUUUCAGUGAUCCUGAUGCGGUGAUGCUUUGUAUCUUGCCACAACCAUCAGAGGAUGCUGACGUCACAAUAAACAUAGAACAAACUCUGAUCAAAGCCCAUUGCUGGGAGAACGGCAUUCGGGUCCUGAAGGUACACAUUGUCAAAGUUACUUCUUACAAAUUUGAAAUUAUUUUGCCAAAAAAGAAAAGAGACACAAACUUUUGAUAGAUACAGGGAUUAAUGACAGUUGGUUUUGGUUUAUUUUUACAGGUGGACUGCUGUAAGAAGCUGGAGAUGUUAGUCUUAGACAACACACAGCCCACAAACCACUCUCUAAACUCGGACUUCUCCUGUGUGCUUGUCUUGGUAAGUAUUCCUAACACAGACAUGUAUAUAGUACUCAAUAUACGGGUAACAAACCUUUACACAAUUAUCAUAAAACUGAUUUAUUAACCCAUGAAUUGUGAAAUACCACAUGAAAAGAACUCUAUUGGUUUUUGAAAUUGAAUAACAUGUAUUAUGUUUUUUUCCUUACAGUUUCCAAAAGUUGAAGCCAGCGAUUCUCCUGACGCAGAGAAAGAAUGGAAGAUGAUUGAUGACUUCUUCAAGAAGAUGCUCAUGCAUGGUGUGCCACAUUGGCACGUGAUUGAAUUACCCGGAUGAUAUAUAACUUGUCUUCAUUAAACUUUAAAGUGCAUGUAAGUGUAUUAUAGGUCACUAUUGGUCUACAUUUCCAAGAAAACCUGUCUUUUAUCUUGCAAGACAACAAAACUGACAUUAUGCAUACAGUCAACAUUUUUUUAAUAAUGUAUGCAUUUUUCAUUUUCAGUUUGCCUCAAAUCAUAAUUGCAUUGAAACUUUAAUUGGCACGUGCUGCCCCAGACUUCAUGUUCUGCUCCAAGGAGAAAAUAGAGGACAGGAAGACGAAAAUAGAUGCGCACGCAGGCCUCCUCGGCUGAUGAAGUCGUAAAGAUUCCACCAAAGGAAUAAACAAACGACAAACUUCACAGGAGAAAUAUAAACUGACUGUAAAUGUCUGUGACUGAAAUCAUGGCGAUGGUUUAAUGAAUAUUAAUGUAUAUAGAUUAAUUUUAGAUAUGCACUGUAUGUUCAAUGCGUAAGAAUACGAAGAAAAGAGAAAUAAAAUGUAUAACAU
rnacentral:misc_RNA from 1 species